rnacentral:rRNA from 1 species
GACGAACGCUGGCGGCGUGCCUAAUACAUGCAAGUAGAACGCUGAAGGAGGAGCUUGCUUCUCCGGAUGAGUUGCGAACGGGUGAGUAACGCGUAGGUAACCUGCCUGGUAGCGGGGGAUAACUAUUGGAAACGAUAGCUAAUACCGCAUAACAGUAGAUAUUGCAUGAUAUCUGCUUGAAAGGUGCAAUUGCAUCACUACCAGAUGGACCUGCGUUGUAUUAGCUAGUUGGUGAGGUAACGGCUCACCAAGGCGACGAUACAUAGCCGACCUGAGAGGGGGUUCGGCCACACUGGACUGAGACACGGCCCAGACUCCUACGGGAGGCAGCAGUAGGGAAUCUUCGGCAAUGGACGGAAGUCUGACCGAGCAACGCCGCGUGAGUGAAGAAGGUUUUCGGAUCGUAAAGCUCUGUUGUAAGAGAAGAACGAGUGUGAGAGUGGAAAGUUCACACUGUGACGGUAUCUUACCAGAAAGAGACGGCUAACUACGUG